rnacentral:rRNA from 1 species
ACGCUCAUUAUCGCGACCCCAGGUCAGGCGGGAUUACCCGCUGAAUUUAA